AUUAAGAAUCUCACCCUACCCCAUGUGAUUUCUUUUCACGUUCAUCACAGAAGUAAAACAGUUUUGUCUCUCAUCUUCCUCUAUCGCCAUACGGUAUUGCAGUUUUCUUCCCAAUUUGUAUAUGUUUAAUCUAUUUGAUUGCUGGAAAAACCAUAUACGUAUGCAAUGAAAAGAGAAAACAUACAUGUAAUAGAUUAAAAAGGGAAAGGGAAGAAAUCCUCCCUUUCUUUCCUUUUCGUGCAAGGCUUUCAGAAAUCUGUAUCAGAUAUUAUGCAUCCAGGAGUGUGCUGGCAGGUUGAAUAGUGUAUAUAAAUUUUCAAUUUUUCAUAUUAAACUAUAGAAUUUACCCUUUAGGAUCGAAAUACCAAUCGAAACAGAAAAACUCAGCUCGUAAUUUUUGGUUAGGACGAGGAAAAUCUGAAAACUCAGUGUGGGAGGAUCAAAGUUUGGUGCUUUCUGGGAGAAAAUUGGGUUUUUUGUGGUGUUUGUUUGAUGGGUUUAUUGGUUGAUUCAAAAGGGGAAGGGGGCGCCGGAGGAAGUGGAAGAAACGGCGGUUCAUGGGGUUUUUUGUGGUGUAUGUUCAUGUGAAGUCAGGGGGUCAUCAAUUGGCCAAGGAGUUGACUGAUCUUGCUGCAAUUGUUUAUAUAAUAUCUCAAUCAAGCAUGGAAGUGGAUGAAGAAAUGGAAGUCGAGCAAAUGGUGGAAGAACAAAUUGAAGAAGAAGAAGAAACUAAUGAAGAAGAAAUUGAGGAAGAAGAACUUUAUGAAACCAUUAAAUAUUUAUUGAUGGCAAUUCAAGCCGUAGUCCACGUGCUAGAAGAGUUUAUAAUUACAUUUGGACAACCUAUUGAACGUCCUUUAAAUCGACGAUCAAUUACUAUGGAAGGAUACAAUUAUAUACAUAAAGUAUUGAAAGAGGACCGCCCAGAGGAUUUCUUGCAAAGGUAUAGAAUGUAUCCUGAUGUGUUUGUG